UACGUAGGGCGCAAGCGUUAUCCGGAAUUAUUGGGCGUAAAGAGCUCGUAGGCGGUUUGUCGCGUCUGCCGUGAAAGUCCGGGGCUCAACUCCGGAUCUGCGGUGGGUACGGGCAGACUAGAGUGAUGUAGGGAGACUGGAAUUCCUGGUGUAGCGGUGAAAUGCGCAGAUAUCAGGAGGAACACCGAUGCGAAGGCAGGUCUCUGGGCAUUAACUGACGCUGAGGAGCGAAAGCAUGGGGAGCGAACAGG
rnacentral:rRNA from 1 species